rnacentral:lncRNA from 1 species
CACUGUCACUCGGGAGACAUCCUGCUUCUGCGUGGCAGUAAGGGAGGGGACUGCGGGUCCGAGUGAUCUUCCUGUAAGAACAGCGAACACGGGAGCGGUGGGAAGUGUCAUGUGCAAGGAAUGUGUGGAAUGAGGGUGAUUUCAAGUGUUCCCAGGCUCAGAUAACUCCAAGAGACAGACUCAUACCCCAUUUUAGAGUCAAGGUUCCCAAAUUCCUCCAAUGUGAACCAGCUGGGAUUCCCAGUGACCUUCACAUUUUGGUAAGAGCUGGCACUACAAGUGACACUGACAAUCUGCCUUAUUCUCCUAUGCUUUGACUGUUGGCUUGACUUGUCGCUGUCAUGGUGUCAGUCUGCCACUCAGCAGCUCUUCUGCUAAGGGGCUCCUUUUGGCAUCAAAAUUUCCAGUGCUCAUGGGGAGAGCUGUAUUUGUAUCUCUUCAGUGACUGAAAUUCUCAGUCCUCAGAGCAGAUGCAG